GCUGUAGCAGAGCACCCGUAUGCGCACGGCGUCUUCAUAUGAUACCAGAUCCGCGUCCCUACAGUAGAUAGACACACUAGUCCUUAAUUCUGCGGCUGCACUCUUGAAUCACGGUGAUCCCCUGAUCACAAACCCUUUGCAUUUGCUAUGUGCUGACCGGUAGGCACGAAAACCAGGAGUUACUGUUUAACAGGAAAGGGAAGCCGAAGGACGAAGCGUUUACACUUGGCGAAGGUGUUCUUCAUCUCCAGCGCUUCCCACUAUACGGACACCAGAGCAAAAGAGCAGCGGAUCCUCCUCAUCCACACGACUGCAUAUCAACAUAACGGAGCCGCUGAGGUUUAAAUCUUAAGGAGAUGGGACUUGGGCCUCUGCCCAAAGGAGAACGAUUCCAUCUCUGCCCCUAUAGCUGUGACCGGUUUGCCGUGAGGCCCCGUACCCCCCUCUAAUGAUCUCUCUAUAGCCCGGUCCACAACUGUGCAGUCAUGUUCAGGAACAGUCUGAAGAUGCUGCUUG